UCCGGCUUGUCGUCGGCAGUCUCUCUAGAGUCCCCACCAUUACGUGCUGGCAACUAGUGGCGAGGGUUGCGCUCGUUGCGGGACUUAACCCAACAUCUCACGACACGAGCUGACGACAGCCAUGCAGCACCUGUGCUGGCUACCCUUGCGGGUUCAUUGCCGUUUCCGGUUCUUACUACCAGCAUGUCAAACCUGGGUAAGGUUCUUCGCGUUGCGUCGAAUUAAACCACAUACUCCACCGCUUGUGCGGGCCCCCGUCAAUUCCUUUGAGUUUCAGUCUUGCGACCGUACUCCCCAGGCGGCGAACUUAACGCGUUAGCUUCGACACUGAUCUCCGAGUUGAGACCAACAUCCAGUUCGCAUCGUUUAGGGCGUGGACUAC
rnacentral:misc_RNA from 1 species